UAGGGAAUCUUCCGCAAUGGGCGAAAGCCUGACGGAGCAAUGCCGCGUGAGUGAAGAAGGCCUUCGGGUCGUAAAACUCUGUUAUAAGAGAAGAACAAAUUGUAGAGUAACUGCUACAGUCUUGACGGUAUCUUAUCAGAAAGCCACGGCUAACUACGUGCCAGCAGCCGCGGUAAUACGUAGGUGGCAAGCGUUGUCCGGAUUUAUUGGGCGUAAAGGGAGCGCAGGUGGUUUCUUAAGUCUGAUGUGAAAGCCCACGGCUUAACCGUGGAGGGUCAUUGGAAACUGGGAAACUUGAGUACAGAAGAGGAAUGUGGAACUCCAUGUGUAGCGGUGGAAUGCGUAGAUAUAUGGAAGAACACCAGUGGCGAAGGCGACAUUCUGAUCUGUUACUGACACUGAGGCUCGAAAGCGUGGGGAGCAAACAGG
rnacentral:rRNA from 1 species